GUGGGGAGUAUGAGGAGUGUGUGAAGAGUGUGUGAGGAGUGUGAGGAGUGUGUGAGGAGUGUGUGAGGAGUGUGAAGUGUAUGAGGACUGUAGCUGAUGUUUUAGCGAGGCUCAGUCACUGGGAUUUAGUUUCGGUCAUGUGCUGGGAUUGAAUUGUUACCGGCGCUGCACGUGAAUAUGAGAUUAUAUAGAAUUACAUGUCGGGUGUGUUUCAGGUGUAAUAAAGCCGUGUCUUUAUGUCCUGUCUGAAUGAUCAUUUUCAUAUUCACAUGAAUAUUAAG
ensembl:lncRNA